rnacentral:rRNA from 1 species
GUGUCAGCAGCCGCGGUAACACGUAGGGGACGAGCGUUGUCCGGAUUCAUUGGGCGUAAAGCGCGCGUAGGCGGUCGUGCAAGUCGGUUGUGAAAUCCCGGGGCUCAACCCCGGGACUGCGUCCGAUACUGUGCGACUGGAGGCAGGUAGGGGAGAUCGGAAUUCCUGGUGUAGCGGUGAAAUGCGCAGAUAUCAGGAGGAACACCGGUGGCGAAGGCGGAUCUCUGGGCCUUGCCUGACGCUGAGGCGCGAAAGCUAGGGGAGCGAACAGGAUUAGAUACCCUAGUAGUCC